rnacentral:rRNA from 1 species
AUUGAACGCUGGCGGCAUGCUUUACACAUGCAAGUCGAACGGUAACAGGGAGCUUGCUCCGCUGACGAGUGGCGAACGGGUGAGUAAUGCGUCGGAACGUGCCGAGUAGUGGGGGAUGACGCAGCGAAAGUUGUGCUAAUACCGCAUACGUACUGAGGUAGAAAGUGGGGGACCUUCGGGCCUCAUGCUAUUCGAGCGGCCGCCGUUUGAUUAGCUAGUAGGUGAGGUAAAGGCUCACCUAGGCGACGAUCAGUAGCGGGUCGGAGAGGAUGAUCCGCCACACUGGGACUGAGACACGGCCCAGACUCCUACGGGAGGCAGCAGUGGGGAAUUUUGGACAAUGGGCGAAAGCCUGAUCCAGCCAUGCCGCGUGUCUGAAGAAGGCCUUCGGGUUGUAAAGGACUUUUGUCGGGGAGGAAAUCCCCAGCGUUAAUACCGCUGGGGGAUGACAGUACCUGAAGAAUAAGCACCGGCUAACUCUGUGCCAGCAGCCGCGGUAA